UCAUGUUAACGGUWAGUUUACUUACCGCUUAWCAUCGAGUGUUAAAUAUGCUAGUCCUUUCAUGAUUAUGUGAUAGGUGGUGCAUGGCCGUUCUUAGUUCGUGGAGUGAUCUGUCUGCUUAAUUGCGUUUCACUAAGGGYCCAUAAAUUCAAGGUAUGUUAGCUCUCGUCGCUCUAUGGACCCCUUAACUCCAAUAUUCUUAUUGUGUUAAGCGCGUGUCUUUAUUUUAAGAGUUUUAAGACACUGCGCAUG
rnacentral:rRNA from 1 species